UUGAUCCUGGCUCAGAAUCAACGCUGGCGGCGUGCCUAACACAUGCAAGUCGAACGCGGUUACCCCGCAAGGGGUAACUGAGUGGCGAACGGGUGAGUAUCACGUGGGUGACCUACCUUCGAAUGGGGGAUAACGUCCCGAAAGGGACGUUAAUACCGCAUAACAUCCCGUCCUUGAACGGAUGGAGAUCAAAGCUGGGUAUCGUAAGACCUGGCGUUUGAAGAGGGGCCCGCGUCCGAUUAGCUAGUUUGUGAGGUAACGGCUCACCAAGGCGACGAUCGGUAACCGGCCUGAGAGGGUGGACGGUCACACUGGGACUGAGACACGGCCCAGACUCCUACGGGAGGCAUCAGUGGGGAAUUGUUCACAAUGGGCGCAAGCCUGAUGACGCAACGCCGCUUGGAGGAUGAAGGUCUUCGGAUUGUAAACUCCUGUUGCCCGGGACGAAAUGCUUUGACCUAACACGUCAAAGUUUGACGGUACCGGGUGAGGAAGCCCCUGCUAACUCUGUGCCAGCAGCCGCGGUAAUAAGGU
rnacentral:rRNA from 1 species